CAGUAGCCGCGGGAAUACGUAGGGUGCGAGCGUUAAUCGGAAUUACUGGGCGUAAAGCGUGCGCAGGCGGUUGUGUAAGACAGGUGUGAAGUCCCCGGGCUUAACCUGGGAACUGCGCUUGUGACUGCACAGCUAGAGUAUGGCAGAGGGGGGUGGAAUUCCACGUGUAGCAGUGAAAUGCGUAGAGAUGUGGAGGAACACCGAUGGCGAAGGCAGCCCCCUGGGCCAAUACUGACGCUCAUGCACGAAAGCGUGGGGAGCAAACAGGAUUAGAUACCCGCGUAGUCCCUGUCUCUUAUAC
rnacentral:rRNA from 1 species